AAUUAUCUCCAUUAAUAUUAAAUUAUCUCAUAAAAGAGAUCAAAUUUUAAGAAAAUGCUUAGUUGAAGUAAAACGAGUAAGCAAAUUACAUUCGGCUGCGACCGAAUCAUUCACACUCAACACCGUCAUCCUAAAAACGAUUGAAGGAUUGGAUACGAAGAACAUAAAUUUGCACAUUUCAUUAUAUUGGGUGGGCGUGGCUGAUUUUUAUUAUUCGUGUAGAAUGGAAGCAAAGUUGUUCUAAGUUUACGUUGUACAAAACUAUGGGCAUUAAAGGCGUACUCUUUGAGCUCUUUGCGUCAUUUACGAACCCUUUUGCUAAUUUGUAGCCAAUACAUUCGUUUUUGUGGACGGGAGAAUGUGCACAGAUAUGCACAGUGCAUUGAUAUGCACAGGCAGACAGACGCACAUGCGAUUUAAAUCGACCAAGAUUUUUGAAGUCUCUGAAAUUUGCUUCUGGGCGUUGCAAACGUUUCGAAGAAAUGAAUAUACCCUUCAUUCUUCGUUGACGGGUGUAAAAAAUGGGAAAAAGACGAAUGUUUUUCUUUUGGCUUUUUUUUUGGAAAAUCUCAAAUUUCUUCUUGUCUUAAGACAACAACGACUACAAUAGCAAUAAAAACAAAUAAAACUAAUAAUGAGGCUGUUGCUUCACCUGUCCACAGGUUAGGUUAACAAGGUUUUCUACCCGUUUGCUUAUAUAUGUUUUGCGAUGGAGAGACGAAGAAACAUAUAAGAUUUUGUCGCAAGCAUAAGCAAACAGCAGGUAACGCUAAGAAAAUAAUAUGAUGAUGCCAUAAAACAUUUCGCUCUGAUAAGCUGCAAGGGAAAGAGAAGAUUUCUUAAGAAACAUGAUUUUUUGUUUUUUCUUUUUUUUUUGAUGAUAGAUGAAAAUUUUGAAAAAGAAAAGAAGAAAUCCUUUGAAAAUUCUGCCAGCCAGUUGAGCAGCGUAACUAACUAAAGUGUACGACAGAGAUCGCAGUGAGCCCAAUUUCUCAAAAACAUCCCGCUGUGUAUGGCGUGAAAUUCAAGAGGUUUCCAAUAUGAUCUUAUAAUUCGUUUUCCACUUGUGGCGAUGUUUUUAACAGAAAAUUCACACACAUUGCUACCAAGCUCGCUUAGUAAAAAGAAGAAAAGAAAAGCAACCACUUGAACUGCACAAAAGAGCCUUUAAGCUAUUGUAACGCCUUUCCACAAAAAAAAGCAAAAAAAAGAAGAAGAAAAAUGUGAAGAAAAAAAGGAAGGAAAACUAUUUGAAAUUAUUAAAAAAUUUAUGAAGAAUGAGCUGCAUCCAGUGAAACAAGGAAAAAUCAACUGAAACGGCGGAGGAGGUGGCAAUAGUGGUGUUCGCUAUACUAAGGAAAAUUCAAUAAAUGACUUUGCAACAUGUGAUGCUGUUUUUCCAUUGCGGCUAUUGUCGUUGCUGCUUGUUAAGAGGUAAAAAAACUUUUAUAAAUAAUUUUCAUAAUUUUCUCAUUUUUUAAAUUAAGAAAAACGCAAACGAUAACUAGCUUGAACUGCGCUCUUGAGUUGGGAAAACUCUUGAAAUACACGACAGGCAAAAACAGGACCCUAAACCACUUCGCUUAAUACGAUUGUCGAUCAUAUGACGAUUUUUCAAAACCAAACCCCUUAUUAAAAGUGGUCAGAAAAGCUUCUAUUCAAACAAUUCUCUAUGGUGUGGGUUUUUUGGCCAAAACACGGAGAGAGAGACUGGCUUAAAUAAUAUAAUAUAAGUAUAAUAAUAAAAUGUGGCUCUAUCUUAAGUCCUUCUGGAUGUUUCAUACACCCCCACAAGUUAAUAUGCCCCUUUGCAGUAGCAGAAUAAAAUGAAUUAUUUUUCUUUUAUAAGGAAAAUUCCAACUAUUUAAUUGAAACAACAAAAAUCAAUUAAUUAUUCUUUUAGUAAAUUACAACAAACGAAAAAGUAAACCGCCAAGUAUACUAUGUUAUUUUGGAAAUCGAUUCUUACAAAGUGGAAACAACAUAGCUUAUCCACACCUUGCACCAUAACUGGUGCGGGGUGCCAAGAUACUGGCAUCUAUGCAUUGAGGUGGCUCAAAACUUCCAUAUGUUAAUAACACUUAUGCUAAAACCUGUUAAGAUUACGUAAUAAGGUUAUGCUAAUUAUUAGUGCAGUUAUCAUUAACAUAUGACUAUCAGAUAAUGUAAUUAAUUUUUUAAACGUCAUAGUGGUUUUUUUUUUUUUUUUAUUCCCAUCAAAAUUCACAUUUACGUUCAGUACUAUUUGGCAAAUCAUCGUUGGAAAAUUUUGCAGUUAUGUAGCAUAUGGAAGUUAAUAAAGUUUUCACGUUCCGCGCAUGCGAGAUGAAAGUUACCUUGAAUAAAUGGCUUCAUAGAUAAAUAAAGUUGUCGCAUCUACAGUAGAGGCAUGGGAGCUGGUUUAUGGCGCUCUCGACACCUUAGCUAUGGGUUAUUGUGUCGAUGUAACGACUAGGGAGUUUAAAGCGACCGUUAACGUAUGUACUUUCAUUGCUAUCGAAAGAAAAGCCUUGCAAUGCUAAAAUUCCUAUCGAGUAACAUAUUUCAAUUACAAUCGAGUUUUCUUGAUAUCGAGAAGCACACACUACUCCCGUUUCGUGAAACACGCCUACAUUCAACAAGAUGAAGAGUUUAAUAUGAUUUAUGAUUUGUAGGUGUUGUAGGAGAUCGCUAUAGAAGCAUGAUUGAGUUAGAAAUUAAAUAAAUUUUCUCUCUCUCUCUCUCUCUCUCUCUCUCUCUUUCUCUCUCUCUCUCUCUCUCUCUCGCUCGCCUUCUUUGUUCGGGUAAAGUGCCGUUUCGGGAAGAUAUUGGCAAGACGCAGUACGUCUCGUGCCACUAUCAAUUUACUGACCACAAAAUUGAUGCAAUGCUUUCCCAUCAAUCAUUUUUCUCUAGGAUGAAAUUGAAUUAUUGAUUUAGUGCUAGAAACCACAACAACCACUAAGCCUAACUGAUCACUACUAUAUAUCCGCAUGAAUAGUCUAGUAAGUAAGAAUCGUGAUCAUCAAGUCAAUGUUCGCGGCUUCAAAUCUUGUAUGCGUUAAAGUUGCACUGUGAUCGUAGCUGUACGCAGUAGGCGGUCUCUCUUUUUCUUUCCUCAUUUUUUUCUGACUCCAUACCAAAUUCCAUGAAAAUAUCUCAUAAAUCGCUAUCUAUAGGUUGAACUUAAGAAAAUAAAGCGGACAG